rnacentral:rRNA from 1 species
UACGUAGGGUGCGAGCGUUAAUCGGAAUUACUGGGCGUAAAGCGUGCGCAGGCGGCUUUGCAAGACAGAUGUGAAAUCCCCGGGCUUAACCUGGGAACUGCAUUUGUGACUGCAUGGCUGGAGUGCGGCAGAGGGGGAUGGAAUUCCGCGUGUAGCAGUGAAAUGCGUAGAUAUGCGGAGGAACACCGAUGGCGAAGGCGAUCCCCUGGGCCUGCACUGACGCUCAUGCACGAAAGCGUGGGGAGCAAACAGG